CGGGGAGUAGCGCAGCUCGGUAGCGCGCUUGGUUUGGGUCCAAGAAGUCGUCGGUUCAAAUCCGGCCUCCCCGA
rnacentral:tRNA from 1 species